UACGGAGGGAGCUAGCGUUGUUCGGAAUUACUGGGCGUAAAGCGCACGUAGGCGGCUUUGUAAGUUAGAGGUGAAAGCCCAGGGCUCAACCCCGGAAUUGCCUUUAAGACUGCAUCGCUUGAAUCCGGGAGAGGUGAGUGGAAUUCCGAGUGUAGAGGUGAAAUUCGUAGAUAUUCGGAAGAACACCAGUGGCGAAGGCGGCUCACUGGACCGGUAUUGACGCUGAGGUGCGAAAGCGUGGGGAGCAAACAGG
rnacentral:rRNA from 1 species